rnacentral:rRNA from 1 species
AAUGAACGCUGGCGGCGUGCCUAACACAUGCAAGUCGAACGGCAGCACGGGGCAACCUGGUGGCGAGUGGCGAACGGGUGAGUAAUGCAUCGGAACGUACCUUUCAGUGGGGGAUAACGUAGCGAAAGUUACGCUAAUACCGCAUAUUCUGUGAGCAGGAAAGCAGGGGAUCGCAAGACCUUGCGCUGAUUGAGCGGCCGAUGUCAGAUUAGCUAGUUGGUGAGGUAAAGGCUCACCAAGGCGACGAUCUGUAGCGGGUCUGAGAGGAUGAUCCGCCACACUGAAACUGAGACACGGUCCAGACUCCUACGGGAGGCAGCAGUGGGGAAUUUUGGACAAUGGGGGCAACCCUGAUCCAGCCAUGCCGCGUGAGUGAAGAAGGCCUUCGGGUUGUAAAGCUCUUUCGGCCGGGAAGAAAUCGCACGGGCUAAUACCCUGUGUGGAUGACGGUACCGGAAUAAGAAGCACCGGCUAACUACGUGCCAGCCGCCGCAGUAAAAC